rnacentral:rRNA from 1 species
CACCUACGGGUGGCUGCAGUGGGGAAUUUUGGACAAUGGGCGAAAGCCUGAUCCAGCCAUGCCGCGUGCAGGAUGAAGGCCUUCGGGUUGUAAACUGCUUUUGUACGGAACGAAACGGCCUUUUCUAAUAAAGAGGGCUAAUGACGGUACCGUAAGAAUAAGCACCGGCUAACUACGUGCCAGCAGCCGCGGUAAUACGUAGGGUGCAAGCGUUAAUCGGAAUUACUGGGCGUAAAGCGUGCGCAGGCGGUUAUGUAAGACAGUUGUGAAAUCCCCGGGCUCAACCUGGGAACUGCAUCUGUGACUGCAUAGCUAGAGUACGGUAGAGGGGGAUGGAAUUCCGCGUGUAGCAGUGAAAUGCGUAGAUAUGCGGAGGAACACCGAUGGCGAAGGCAAUCCCCUGGACCUGUACUGACGCUCAUGCACGAAAGCGUGGGGAGCAAACAGGAUUAGAUACCCUGGUAGUCCACGCCCUAAACGAUGUCAACUGGUUGUUGGGUCUUCACUGACUCAGUAACGAAGCUAACGCGUGAAGUGACCGCC